GAUGAACGCUGGCGGCGUGCCUAAUACAUGCAAGUCGAGCGAACAGACGAGGAGCUUGCUCCUCUGACGUUAGCGGCGGACGGGUGAGUAACACGUGGAUAACCUACCUAUAAGACUGGGAUAACUUCGGGAAACCGGAGCUAAUACCGGAUAAUAUAUUGAACCGCAUGGUUCAAUAGUGAAAGACGGUUUUGCUGUCACUUAUAGAUGGAUCCGCGCCGCAUUCGCUAGUUGGUAAGGUAACGGCUUACCAAGGCGACGAUGCGUAGCCGACCUGAGAGGGUGAUCGGCCACACUGGAACUGAGACACGGUCCAGACUCCUACGGGAGGCAGCAGUAGGGAAUCUUCCGCAAUGGGCGAAAGCCUGACGGAGCAACGCCGCGUGAGUGAUGAAGGUCUUCGGAUCGUAAAACUCUGUUAUUAGGGAAGAAGAAAUGUGUAAGUAACUAUGCACGUCUUGACGGUACCUAAUCAGAAAGCCACGGCUAACUACGUG
rnacentral:rRNA from 1 species